GUUGGCUUGAGAGGUAGCAAGAAUGGGACAAGCGGCUUGAACGCUAGAGCUCAGAGGGCGGUGGAGGAAGAACAAACGCAUAGAGCCUAACACCUGCCAGACGGUUUUACUAUUUUAAGUGUUAAUAUUUCCUGGAUUUGUCUAUGCCUGGAUUUGUCAUUCCGGAGUUUUCAGAGGACGAUGACUUAAAUGGAAACGUGAGAGAUUUCUAAAGCAUCACGUAAUUUCCAUGCAUGUAAUUUGAGGAAAAGUGCUCUCUUUUCCUCAACUUUUUGACAACUUGCGAAACCUUACCAAGCAGUGGGUCUACGCGAAGCAGUGGGUCUACGUGAAGCAGUAUUACACGUUUACAUUGCCUACGGUGAUACACAUUUUCUACUAUUAGUUUGGAGGCAGAUUUCAAACGUUAUCAUUUUCGGAAGGCUAAACAACGCCACAGAAUGUGACAUCUACUGUCUAUCGACGACGCCGACUGAGCAUACCUGCAUUCCAAGACUCCAAAGGUUAACGCUGCUGUCAUUGCUAUGGAGACCACCCAAGCCCUCCUCUUCUUUCUCCUGAGUUUAUGUGUCUACAGUUGCCAUGCCGACGCUCGGACUGCUCCCAGAGUGCAUUUGUCUUACAAAGAGCUGAUGGAGACGCGGACGGCACGGCCCUUCUCCUUCUCCUUCAACACCAGUGACUACCGCAUCCUGCACAUGGACCAGGACCAGGGCCGUCUCUACCUGGGCAGCCGGGAGUACCUGGUGGCCCUGGACAUGCACAACAUCAACAAGGAGCCCCUCAUAAUUCACUGGCCGGCCACUACCCAGAGGAAAGGAGAGUGUAGAAUGACUGGAAAGGGUGGGCAGGGGGAGUGUGCAAACUUUGUGCGUCUGAUCGAACCCUGGAAUCGCACACACCUAUACACCUGUGGCACAGGGGCCUAUAAGCCUAUCUGCACCUUCAUCAACAGAGGAUGGAGAGCAGAGGAGUACCUGUUUAGGCUGGUCCCUGGCUACGGGGACUCAGGGAAAGGGAAAUGCUCCUAUGACCCUCGACAGGAGAACGCUGCGGCCCUUAUCAAUGGGAAUCUGUAUGCAGGGGUCCACGUUGACUUCAUGGGCACGGACCCGGCCAUCUUUAGAACCCUGGGGGACAGACCGGCUGUCAGGACGGAGCAAUAUGACUCCCGCUGGCUGAAUGAGCCAGUGUUUGUUAAGAUCCAGCAGAUUCCUGACAGCUCCGAGAGGAAUGAUGAUAAACUCUACUUCUUCUUCCGGGAGAAGAGUCUGGACGGUGCCGGGGGGGGCCAGCCCCAGUGUCCUGGCCAGGGUGGGCCGAGUAUGCCUGAAUGAUGAUGGGGGUCAGAGGUCACUGGUCAACAAGUGGACGACCUUCCUGAAAGCUCGGCUGGUGUGCUCAGUGAUAGGGCGCGAUGGUGUGGAGACCUAUUUCGACGAGCUGAAGGAUGUCUUCAUUCAGCCAACACAAGACCUUCGCAAUCCUGUUGUGUACGCCGUCUUUUCCACUGCGGGUUCUGUGUUUAAGGGCUCAGCCGUGUGUGUCUACUCUAUGUCCGACAUCCGCAAUGUCUUCAAUGGCCCUUUCUCACACAAGCACGGACACAACUACCAGUGGACCCCCUACACUGGAAAGAUCCCCUACCCUCGCCCUGGAACAUGUCCAGGAGGAACGUUCACCCCAGGCCUCCGCUCCACCAAGGAGUUUUCGGAUGAGGCGGUGAACUUUGUGAGGGCGCACCCCCUCAUGUACCACUCUGUCUACCCCAUACACAAGCGGCCUCUGGUGGUGCGAACAGGGGUGGACUACCGCUUCACCUCCAUCGUGGUGGACCUGGUGGAUGCUGUGGACGGGAGGUAUGAGGUGCUCUUCCUGGGCACUGAUCGUGGGACAGUCCAAAAGGUGAUAGUACUUCCUAAAGACACUAGCACAACGGAAGAGCUCACGUUAGAGGAGGUGGAGGUGUUCAGGACUCAAGCUCCUAUUAAGACUAUGAAGCUAUCAUCAAAAAGGCAACAGCUGUAUGUGUCGUCAGAGAUGGGGCUUACCCAGGUGUCCCUGCACAGGUGUGGCGUCUAUGGGAAGGCCUGUUCAGACUGCUGCCUGGCCAGAGACCCUUACUGUGCCUGGGAUGGGGAGACCUGCUCCUCCUUUAGCCCCUCCACCAAGAGGCGGAGCAGAAGACAGGAUAUUAAGCAUGGAGACCCCUUGCGGCAGUGCAGAGGGUUCAAUGCAAAAGUUGAGAAGCGUCUCAGUGAAACAGUGCAGUUUGGGGUGGAGGGGAGUAGCACGUUCCUGGAGUGCCAACCCAGAUCUCCACAAGCGACAGUCAAAUGGCUCUACCAGAAACCAGACGGCAGGAGGAAAGUGCUGAGCCGAGACAGAGAGGUGCUGAAGACUGGUCACGGCAUCCUGCUCAAGUCUCUGAGCCAUGCCGACGGGGGGCUGUACAACUGCCUGGCCACCGAGAACAACUUCAAGCACACGGUGGCCCGCGUGGCCCUCCGCAUCCUGGACCGGGAGAUUGUGGAGGCCCUCACCUCCCCGGACGGCCCCCCGGAGGACCAGAACCCCCAUCACCACCGACACCCCCACCACCACCCUCCGCCUCCACCACCCCCUCCUCACAACCUGCCCCCGCAGUUCUCCUCCCAGCCGGAGAUCCGCCUCAUCAACCAGUACUGUCAGUCCUACUGGCAGCAGCUCAACCUCAACCUGCCCACCAAACGCACCAGCAGGAGGCACACUGAGAGCCAGCCAGAGCCAGCCCCGGGGGCCCCUAGCCACUCCUAGACCCCAUCUCCCUCCCUCUACUUUACUGGUACCCGGGCCAGGCCCUGUAGGGCCACUGUGGCCCUGCACAAUGGUAACAGGCAGACUCACUCAUGUUGUUGUGAUUUUGUUGUUGUUGUUGUUUAUCUCACUCCCAUUUAGGGUUAGUCUCCAUGAGCCCAAUCCUAACUUUAGAUCUGUGCACAUAGCUCUGUGGUUUCUUGCAAAAUUGGUGUUACACACACGGAGUGUUUGGUCAUAUGAAUCUUUAGAUUAAUCUGCAAAUGUACUACCCUAUUCCGUCCAAGCUAGUAACCUGGUUAGUAACUAGUAACUAGUUAGUAAUUAGGAACCUGAAUAGAAUCCCUGUUCCCAUAAGCCCAGGUAUUAUCAAUUGGAUCACUACUUAUGUUAUAUUAUAAACUGGGUGGUUCGAGCCUUGAAUGCUGAUUGGCUGACAUCUGUGGUAUAUCAAACCGCAUACCACAGGUAUGACAAAACAUUCAUUUUUCCUGCUCUAAUUAUGUUGGUAACCAGUUUAUAAUAGCAAUAAGGCACCUCGGGGGGUUGUGGUAUAUGGCCAAUAUACCACGGCUAAGGGCUGUGUCCAGGCCCUCUACGAUGCUUAGUGCCUAAGAACAGCCCUUAACCGUGGUAUAUUGGCCAUAUACCACACCCCCUCAUGCCUUAUUGUUUACGUAUGUCACAUUGUAUUGUAUCACUCAGUGUAAGACAUUUUAGAAACUGCAGAGGAUUUUGUUAGUGUACACAAUAGUUGCCUAGCCACCACCAUGGUUGUUAGGUGAUAUAGAGACAGGGUAUCAUAUGAAUCAUUGUCAAAUUUGUCACAUGUUGUAUGGCUGCCUCAACCUCACUUUUUACAAUCCAUUUGUUCCACUGAAUCUAGUUGAUGAAACAUGGGCAAUUUAAUAGUAUUAAGUAUAUUAUGUUUCCAUUCUAAAUAUUGUUACAAUAGAAUCCUGCCAAUGUCAAAUCAGAAAGAAUAAGGCUCAGUUUUGGGUCGUUCUUGAAUUGCGGUGGCAUCUGGCCCUGGCCUUUCGGAAAAAAUACUUUUUUAAUGUUUAAAAAAUGGGUUCUAUUCUAAAUCAACUAAUGUGGUAGUUUAAUGAUUAAUGACUAAUUAUUUGUACCAUUAUGAUUACAUUGUGCCACCAGUAGGAGUAGUGACAGCAAUGACUGUCACACCAAUGACACAUUUAAGGUAAUUGAGGAUUUUCUUAAAUGGAGGCCACAAAUGUUCAAAUCUAAGGUCACAAUGUCAUUUCCCUUCAUUUAAAUUGAGUAACACCAAUGACACUUUGCAUUUACACAUACUAAAUGAUCAAUGGAAUCCUCAAAUUUGUGACAUACUAAAAGGGUGUGAUUAGCUAAUAACUUUCUUUAAUAUAGACCACUCCCCCAAAAACAAUUUGCCACUCGGGGGAUUGCUAAAUGUCCUUCUACAACACCAAUGACAUAAAACUUAGGGUCACAUAAUAUUUGUAAAAAAAAAUAACAAAUAUUGGUUUUAUUGAUCUUUGCCAGGGAUGGGCAACGGCGGCUCACUUUUGUAGGCCCGUGGAUCAACCCCCCCCCAACUUAAUGUUGAGAGUUAAAAUAGUAGAAUACACAAGGUUACAUUUUGUAAUUUGGUUGUGCAUCAGCAGUUUUUCUCUUAUGUUAGUCACUGACAAUUACUUAAUUAGCUCAUGUUUAGGUUGGCAGGUAGCCUAGUGGUUAAGAGUGUUAGGCCAGUAACCAAAAGGUCACUGGUUUGAAUCCCUGAGCUGACUAGGUGAAAGAAAUCUGCUGAUGUGACCUUAAGCAGAUCUAUGUCAGGUUUGGACUUUUCAUGAAUCCACUGCUCUUUCUCUCACCCACGCCAUGAAACAUAUUUAUUUUUGAGACUGUACAUAUUCCUGUAAGUUCUGCACUUUGGUGGUGGGGGUGUAAGGGCUGGGAUGGGGUAGGGGAUAUUAUUAUGAUCUAUUGUUGAUUGACAGGACCAAUAUUCACAGAAAGAGGCUUUCAUGUAAAAUAGGUAGACCUUUUUGGAAAUGAAAAAUAUGAAUAUUUGAAUGAAUAAAUGAUUAUGGAUCGGAAGCCAUAAUACUGUAGUUCAGCAACGUGCUGAGCAAGCCACUUAACCCUACUUGCUCUGGAUAAGAGCAUCUGCUUAAAUGUUUCACCAAAACAUUUUUUUUUUGAUAGCUGGCUAAACUAACUCACCUAUCUAAAUCUGUAGUAAUCAUGAUCGAAAUACAUACUUUGAUUUUGUUAGUCACACUCACUCAGAUAUAAUAGGAAAUUAGCUGUAAAACUCCAAAUGAUUAUCUCCUCUCCAUGGCAAAAUGAGUAGAAUUGCAUGAAAUUUGUGGGCCCCUCAUGAUGAGUUCAGAUUUUUGGUGGCCCCCACCCCCAUCCAAGUUGUCCAUCCCUGAUCUAUAUAAUAUAUGAUAUACUUUUGUUUACUUUCUAGCAUUCGAAAUAAUAGAUAGAUAACCCUAAAACAUGUUACUACAACUCUACUCAUCACUACUGGGACAAUCCAAUUUGCUUUCCCUAAAUACUUUAAACAAUGCCUAAACAUAAAGUCUUGCCGUAUAAAGUACUUGCAUUAUAAUUUGUCAUUUAUAAACAGUUCAAUAUAAACAAAAGCAUGUAUGAUGUGUAACUAUUUGUCUUUUUCAAUCGUUCUUCAUGGUGGCAAAAGCGAUGGACGCAAAUGCCACCGCAAUUCAAGAAUUACCCGUUUACAUGUUUUUCAUCUGCCAUUUCUUAAGAUUCUGAUAUAAUCUAUUUUAAAACAUGACAUGUCACAGAAAAUGUGGAUUAUCAGACACACCUGCUUAAUUUGACCAAACAUUUGUUAGCAGGAAGAAACUGACCAAAUUAGUCUCUACUUCUUUUUAUUGGUUGGACUCCUGGGGUUAUGCAAUUUUUUAUUUUUUUUUACCCAAUACUAUACUUACUGAAUACAAAACCAUUAGUGUCAGCUAAAAAGCUAUCCAAGUCUCAUGUUUGAGUAAAUUGCUUCGACCUUGUGCUUCUUUCUGCUCAGCACUUCAACAGUGUGUUAGGCAGAGACAACAUUUUGGACCAAACACUGUUCCAUUCUCCAGCCAAGACUAUCGAGGGAUUAAAAAAGGAACAUGUAAAUAGAGCAAGUUUGGUUUGGAAUGAUUCAUUCAGAAAAAGAGAUUCAUUAGCCGUUGAUAAUUACAGUGAGAAAAGAAAAUGAAGACAGUUAGUAUAGGGGUUUGCCAUUGUGUUGCUUCGAAAUGGCAGUACAUAUUCUCUCUUCAGUGGGAGUUACAUUACUUUUACAACAGCUUGACAUCAGAUGAGAAACUGAUCCAGCAGAAACUGGACUGGGAGGCUCUUUAAAAUGUGACUAUGUGACAUGGCCACACUGUAUUUUUCUUGUCCUCUAGAGAUGAGUCAUUAGUAUAUUCACUAGCACUCACCUGGCUCUAUCAUAUGCUUUUGUUGGAUACCACACGUAUUCAGUGCAUUCAUAUGGUAUGAAUACAUGUAAAGGACUUUUAGAUCUCAGAUCUAUGUCAGGUUUGGACUUUUCAUGAAUCCACUGCUCUUUCUCUCACCCACGCCAUGAAACAUAUUUAUUUUGAGACUGUACAUAUUCCUGUAAGUUCUGCACUUUGGUGGUGGGGGUGUAAGGGCUGGGAUGGGGUAGGGGAUAUUAUUAUGAUCUAUUGUUGAUUGACAGGACCAAUAUUCACAGAAAGAGGCUUUCAUGAAAAAUAGGUAGACCUUUUUGGAAAUGAAAAAUAUGAAUAUUUGAAUGAAUAAAUGAUUAUGGAUCGGAAGCCAUAAUACUGUAGUACAGCAACGUGCUGACAGAUUACUCAACUCUGAAGCCAAAGAAUCUUCUAUUUGAAUGAAAACGUGUUCUAUUUAAAGGUCCAAUGGAGCCAUUUUUAUAUCAAUAUCAAAUCCUUUCUGGGUAACAGUUAAGCACCUUACUGUGAUUGUUUUCAAUUAAAAUUGUGAAAAAUAAACAAAAAUAGCUUCUUAGCAAAGAGCAAUAUUUCAAGCAAUAAUUUAGCUUGGACUGUCUGGGAGUUGUGGGGCCUAAUUGGAGGAGCCUAAUGGGAGGGAUAUGUAACCUGAAGGUUUAAAACUCUAAUAACUCUAAUAACUUAUACUGCCUGGCGAUGUAGCCAGGCAGGCCAAAACGCCAUCCCACUAAAACAGGCAGAAAUUUCAGGUGGUCUUUUCAAACAGCUCUUACACUAAAAGGGCAUUAUCAUAAUUUUCACAAUUUCACAGUAUUAUUCCAACCUCAUAGUGUAGAAAUAUAAAUCUAAACCACAGAAAAUCACGUUUUUGACUGCACUGGGCCUUUAACAUACUUUUCACCAUAUUCACAUUCUUUGUGGCUUUACAUGGCUUCCUAUGUCUUUUCUUAGCUAUAGAGUUUGAAUCCAGAAAUGUCUACCUGUCUCGUUUCUGGAAUAUCAUUUGUAAUAAAACAAAAGUCACUCAAACAAAACAAUGUAACGCUUGGUACCAUAUUCCUUCUAGAGUAUGUCUGUGAGCUGAUUCAAGAGUGACAUGAGUAAAUUAACAUUUUAAAAGGGAGUUACGGGUGAAUAACAAACCCAUUUCAUUCAGUAACUACAAAAUUAUUUUGUUCCAAAAACGAUUAAUUGGUGUCAGCCAUCUUGGCCAUUUAGAGAGGCCUUUCCACUCCCUGCUGCGCCUAACCAGUCAGCCAAUCAGAGGGAAAUUCCACUGUGGCUUAGUGCAGGUCACAACCCUUCUCAGAAGGAAUACUGUGUAUUUAACAGUUCUUUGUCUUGUUGUUUUUUGGGCUUGUGUGUUUGUCAUUGAGCUACGUUGACUAUAUCUGCGUUUUUUCUUUGUACUCGUAGAUGUGUUUGUGUUAGUUUAAAUUGAUAUGGUUGUUUGUAAUAAAUAUUAUUUUAUUAUUAUGAUA